UGCGGACACAGGGCAGUAUUUAUAGAAUAUAGUACUAACGAGGUACGCUGCGGACACAGUGUUUACAGGGGGCACUAUUUAUAUGGAGCAGUAUUUAUAGUAUUUAGAAGGUACGCUGCGGACACAGUGCAGUAUUUAAAAUUGAGCAGUAUUUAUAGAAUACAGUAUUUACAUGGUGCAGUAUUUAUAGAAUCUAUUGCUUAAAUGGUAGGCUGGGGACACAGCACAGUAUUUAUAGAAUAUAGCACUAUGAUGGUGCAGUAUUUAAAGAAUAUAGUACUUACAAGGCUGUGGACACAGUGCAGUAUUUAUAGAAUAAAAUACUCACACGGUGCAGUAUUUAGAGAAUAUAGUAUUUACAAGGUUAUCUGUGGACACAGUGCAGUAUUUAUAGA